AAUUUUGGAUAAUCGCGGCUGGUUCGUAUCAGCUGAGGAAAGUCCAUGCUCGCACAGGCUGAGAUGCUUGUAGUGUUCGUGCUCGGUGAAAAAAUAAGCCGGGGAACCAGUAAUGGUUACGGCGGAAAAAGCGGCUAAGGUUUCGGCUAUGCCCCAGUAUUCCUGAAAAGUGCCACAGUGACGAAGCAAUGUAGGAAACUAUAUUGAUGGAACGCGGUAAACCCCUCGAGCGGGAAACCCAAACUUAUGGUAGGGGAGCUUCACAUAGGUAAUUGAACUGAUUGUGGGGGGAGACGUAUGUCUCGAGAUAGAUGAUUAUCACUGUAUAUUCUGCCUGAAGAAUGUACUUCGACAAAACAUGGCUUACAGAA
rnacentral:RNase_P_RNA from 2 species